AGUGAACGCUGGCGGUAGGCCUAACACAUGCAAGUCGAACGGCAGCACAGUAAGAGCUUGCUCUUACGGGUGGCGAGUGGCGGACGGGUGAGGAAUACAUCGGAAUCUACUUUUUCGUGGGGGAUAACGUAGGUAAACUUACGCUAAUACCGCAUACGACCUACGGGUGAAAGCAGGGGAUCUUCGGACCUUGCGCGAUUGAAUGAGCCGCUGUCGGAUUAGCUAGUUGGCGGGGUAAAGACCCACCAAGGCGACGAUCCGUAGCUGGUCUGAGAGGAUGAUCAGCCACACUGGAACUGAGACACGGUCCAGACUCCUAGGGGAGGCAGAAGUGGGGAAUAUUGGACAGUGGGCGCAAGCCUGAUCCAACCAUACCGCGUGGGUGGAAAAGGCCUUCGGGUUGUAAAGCCCUUUUGUUGGGAAAGAAAAGCAGCAGGUUGAUACCCCGCUGUUCUGACGGUACCCAAAGAAUAAGCACGGGCUAACUUCGUG
rnacentral:rRNA from 1 species